rnacentral:rRNA from 1 species
CGCAAGCUUCAGAGACUAAGCGAAAGUGAUAAGUUAGCCACCUGGGGAGUACGAACGCAAGUUUGAAACUCAAAGGAAUUGACGGGGGCCCGCACAAGCGGUGGAUUAUGUGGUUUAAUUCGAUGAUACGCGAGGAACCUUACCAAGGCUUAAAUGGGAAAUGACAGGUUUAGAAAUAGACUUUUCUUCGGACAUUUUUCAAGGUGCUGCAUGGUUGUCGUCAGCUCGUGCCGUGAGGUGUUAGGUUAAGUCCUGCAACGAGCGCAACCCCUGUCACUAGUUGCCAUCAUUAAGUUGGGGACUCUAGUGAGACUGCCUACGCAAGUAGAGAGGAAGGUGGGGAUGACGUCAAAUCAUCACGGCCCUUACGCCUUGGGCCACACACGUAAUACAAUGGCCGGUACAGAGGGCAGCUACACUGCGAAGUGAUGCAAAUCUCGAAAGCCGGUCUCAGUUCGGAUUGGAGUCUGCAACUCGACUCUAUGAAGCUGGAAUCGCUAGUAAUCGCGCAUCAGCCAUGGCGCGGUGAAUACGUUCCCGGGCCUUGUACACACCGCCCGUCAAGCCAUGGAAGUCUGGGGUACCUGAAGUCGGUGACCGUAACAGGAGCUGCCUAGGGUAAAACAGGUAACUAGGGCUA